rnacentral:tRNA from 1 species
CAAAUUAAAGCUUUAAAGUAAAGUAUUUCAUUUACAUUGAAAUGAUUUUCGUGCAAUUCGAAUUAUUUUGA